ensembl:lncRNA
CGUUAUUUGUAAAGCUGUUUUCAUGUUCAACUGUUUUAAUAGAAGAGUAAGAGGAAGCAAAAGCAGUGAAACCAAAAUAACGAAAAUGACUGCAGUUGCUGGUCUUUGAUUUCGGGAUAGUUCAAUGUAUCUUAAUAGACGCAUCAAACUUGUGUUAGCCUAUUUAACGCGUCAGAUAGCGUUAAUAAACGUGUCAAUUUUGAAACGCAAAGACCCAUACUUGUGUGAUAUAGCCAAUCCAAGUGUGUAAUAACUGGCUCGUCCUCCAUUGAACCUUUGUUUGGUGAUUCUUUUGUCCCAGGUUUCAUAUCGUUAAUUUUGGCCAAGGACAAGACAUCUGAAGAUUUGCUUUUGAAGUUGGUUGUGUACGUUCUAACGAACGUCGGACUUGGGGACCAUCAUUUGGGGAGUGCUACUUAUUGGCACCGCGGCAAUGUGUGUACAGGCGGUCUCAAUGUAGUCCCUAGAUGGUCAUGCUAGGAAAGCCCAACUCAAUAAUAGGUUAGAAGUAAAUCAGCAUCUGUAGUUAGAAACUGCGGUAAGCUACGUUGUGUCUCUUGCAUGGCCAUAUGGUGACAAUCACCCUUUGGCGCCGUAUAUCAGACUAGUAAAUAACAGGAAGAGUGGGAAGGAGGCAGUUUGCGAUAUGUGCCAAUUUGAUAGGUAGGCUAUUUUUGAAAAGUAGCUAUUUAAUUCUCGGCCGAUGUGAAAUACAUUUAUCAAGUCUAAUUUAUGUAAUUCCUAUUGUUUUCUGCAGUGAGAUACUCAAAGACUCAUUCACAUAUCAGAGACUAGUGCGGGCGUUACGGUUUGGCCUACCGUUAUUUUCUUUAAUAUUUAACGCAGAUUUCUGUUUUCUAGCUGAGUUUUGAAGAGUCUGUGCAAUUUUGUACAAAAGUGAUGUACUUGACAUAAUACUUUAUAUUUCUGUGAAUAAAACGUGAGCAAACUUACAAUAACUUUCUCGUGUAUUGUCUCUAUAGCAACAGGCAACCUGAUCUUGCCCCAACCGUUAAAAUCAUCAUUAACUGAACUUUACAUAGUAGGGGAGACCGGGGGAAAUUGUAACAUAGUAAUUUCCUCCUUAAGAAACAUUAGAUUCUACAACAGUAAUGUGAUUAGUUUGUGGGCC